GAUGAACGCUGGCGGCGUGCCUAAUACAUGCAAGUCGAGCGAACGGACGAGAAUCUUGCUUCUCUGAUGUUACCGGCGGACGGGUGAGUAACACGUGGAUAACCUACCUAUAAGACUGGGAUAACGUAGGGAAAGCGGAGCUAAUACCGGAUAAUAUUUUGAACCGCAUGGUUCAAAAGUGAAAGACGGUCUUGCUGUCGCUUAUAGAUGGAUCCGCGCUGCAUUAGCUAGUUGGUAAGGUAACGGCUUACCAAGGCAACGAUGCAUAGCCGACCUGAGAGGGUGAUCGGCCACACUGGAACUGAGACACGGUCCAGACUCCUACGGGAGGCAGAAGUAGGGACCCUUGCGCAAUGGGCGAAAGCCUGACGGAGCAACGCCGCGUGAGUGAUGAAGGUCUUCGGAUCGUAAAACUCUGUUAUUAGGGAAGAACAUAUGUGUACGUAACUGUGCACAUCUUGACGGUACCUAAUCAGGAAGCCACGGCUAACUACGUG
rnacentral:rRNA from 1 species